rnacentral:rRNA from 1 species
AAAUUGAAGAGUUUGAUCAUGGCUCAGAUUGAACGCUGGCGGCAGGCCUAACACAUGCAAGUCGAGCGGUAGCACAGAAGAGCUUGCUCUUCGGGUGACGAGCGGCGGACGGGUGAGUAAUGUCUGGGAAACUGCCUGAUGGAGGGGGAUAACUACUGGAAACGGUAGCUAAUACCGCAUAACGUCUUCGGACCAAAGAGGGGGACCUUCGGGCCUCUUGCCAUCGGAUGUGCCCAGAUGGGAUUAGCUAGUAGGUGAGGUAAUGGCUCACCUAGGCGACGAUCCCUAGCUGGUCUGAGAGGAUGACCAGCCACACUGGAACUGAGACACGGUCCAGACUCCUACGGGAGGCAGCAGUGGGGAAUAUUGCACAAUGGGCGCAAGCCUGAUGCAGCCAUGCCGCGUGUGUGAAGAAGGCCUUCGGGUUGUAAAGCACUUUCAGCGGGGAGGAAGGCGAUAAGGUUAAUAACCUUGUCGAUUGACGUUACCCGCAGAAGAAGCACCGGCUAACUCCGUGCCAGCAGCCGCGGUAAUACGGAGGGUGCAAGCGUUAAUCGGAAUGACUGGGCGUAAAGCGCACGCAGGCGGUCUGUUAAGUUGGAUGUGAAAUCCCCGGGCUUAACCUGGGAACUGCAUUCAAAACUGACAGGCUAGAGUCUUGUAGAGGGGGGUAGAAUUCCAGGUGUAGCGGUGAAAUGCGUAGAGAUCUGGAGGAAUACCGGUGGCGAAGGCGGCCCCCUGGACAAAGACUGACGCUCAGGUGCGAAAGCGUGGGGAGCAAACAGGAUUAGAUACCCUGGUAGUCCACGCUGUAAACGAUGUCGACUUGGAGGUUGUGCCCUUGAGGCGUGGCUUCCGGAGCUAACGCGUUAAGUCGACCGCCUGGGGAGUACGGCCGCAAGGUUAAAACUCAAAUGAAUUGACGGGGGCCCGCACAAGCGGUGGAGCAUGUGGUUUAAUUCGAUGCAACGCGAAGAACCUUACCUACUCUUGACAUCCACAGAAUUUGGUAGAGAUACCUUAGUGCCUUCGGGAACUGUGAGACAGGUGCUGCAUGGCUGUCGUCAGCUCGUGUUGUGAAAUGUUGGGUUAAGUCCCGCAACGAGCGCAACCCUUAUCCUUUGUUGCCAGCGAGUAAUGUCGGGAACUCAAAGGAGACUGCCGGUGAUAAACCGGAGGAAGGUGGGGAUGACGUCAAGUCAUCAUGGCCCUUACGAGUAGGGCUACACACGUGCUACAAUGGCGUAUACAAAGAGAAGCGAACUCGCGAGAGCAAGCGGACCUCAUAAAGUACGUCGUAGUCCGGAUUGGAGUCUGCAACUCGACUCCAUGAAGUCGGAAUCGCUAGUAAUCGUAGAUCAGAAUGCUACGGUGAAUACGUUCCCGGGCCUUGUACACACCGCCCGUCACACCAUGGGAGUGGGUUGCAAAAGAAGUAGGUAGCUUAACCUUCGGGAGGGCGCUUACCACUUUGUGAUUCAUGACUGGGGUGAAGUCGUAACAAGGUAACCGUAGGGGAACCUGCGGUUGGAUCACCUCCUUA